UACGUAGGGUGCAAGCGUUGUCCGGAUUUAUUGGGUUUAAAGGGUGCGUAGGCGGGUUGAUAAGUCACAGGUGAAAGGUAGCAGCUUAACUGUUUUACAUGCCUGUGAUACUGUUGAUCUUGAAUUAGGCGGAGGGAACUGGAAUGGAUGGUGUAGCGGUGAAAUGCAUAGAUAUCAUCCAGAACGUCAAUUGCGAAGGCAAGUUUCUGUACCUAUAUUGACGCUGAGGCACGAAAGUGUGGGGAUCAAACAGG
rnacentral:rRNA from 1 species